rnacentral:rRNA from 1 species
AACGAACGCUGGCGGCGGGCUUAACACAUGCAAGUCGAGCGCCCCGCAAGGGGAGCGGCAGACGGGUGAUUAACGCGUGGGAAUCUACCCAUAUUUAGGUUAUAACGCAUGGAAACGGUUGCAAAUACCGUAUACGUCCUUCGGGAGACAGAGUUAUCGGAGAUGGAUGAGCGCGCGUUGGAUUAGCUAGUUGGUGGUGUAAAGGCCUACCAAGGCGACGAUCCAUAGCUGGUCUGAGAGGAUGAUCAGCCACACUGGGACUGAGACACGGCCCAGACUCCUAAGGGAGGCAGCAGUGGGGAAUAUUGGACAAUGGGCGCAAGCCUGAUCCAGCAAUGCCGCGUGAGUGAUGAAGGCCCUAGGGUUAUAAAGCUCUUUCACCGGUGAAGAUAAUGACGGUAAGCGGAGAAGAAGCCCCGGCUAACUUCGUGCCAGCCGCCGCGGUAAAAC